rnacentral:rRNA from 1 species
CAGGUUUAAACGAAUUUCGCCCUUUAGAGUUUGAUCAUGGCUCAGAUUGAACGCUGGCGGUAUGCUUAACACAUGCAAGUCGAACGGUAGCAGGCCUUCGGGCACUGACGAGUGGCGGACGGGUGAGUAACGCGUAGGAAUCUGCCUCAUAGUGGGGGACAACGUGGGGAAACUCACGCUAAUACCGCAUACGCCCUACGGGGGAAAGCGGGGGCUCUUCGGACCUCGCGCUAUGAGAUGAGCCUGCGUUAGAUUAGCUAGUUGGUGGGGUAAAGGCCUACCAAGGCGACGAUCUAUAGCUGGUCUGAGAGGACGAUCAGCCACACUGGGACUGAGACACGGCCCAGACUCCUACGGGAGGCAGCAGUGGGGAAUAUUGGACAAUGGGCGGAAGCCUGAUCCAGCAAUACCGCGUGUGUGAAGAAGGCCUUAGGGUUGUAAAGCACUUUCAAUUGGGAGGAAAACCUACCGGUCAAUACCCGGUAGCUUGACAUUACCUUUAGAAGAAGCACCGGCUAACUCCGUGCCAGCAGCCGCGGUAAUACGGAGGGUGCGAGCGUUAAUCGGAAUUACUGGGCGUAAAGCGUGCGUAGGCGGUUCGUUAAGUCAGAUGUGAAAGCCCUGGGCUCAACCUGGGAACGGCAUUUUGAAACUGGCGGACUAGAGUUUUAGUAUAGGGGAGUGGAUUUUCAGGUGUAGCGGUGAAAUUGCGUAUAUUUCUGAAGGAACACCAUUGGCGAAGGCGACUCCCUGUACUAGAACUGACGCUGAGGUACGAAUGUGUGGUUUAGCAAACAGGAUUAGAUACCCUGUUAGUUCCACGCCGUAUACGAUGUCGACUAGCCGUUGGUUCUAUUUACAGGAUUAGUGGUCGCAGCUAUCGCCUUAAUUCUACUCGCCUGGUGGAGUACGGCCGCAAGUUUAAAACUUCAAAUGAAUUGACGGUGUGCUCGCACAAGCGGUGCAGCAUGGCGCUUAAUUUCGAUGCUACUGCUGGAUGAC